rfam:Methylobacterium sp. Leaf93 contig_4, whole genome shotgun sequence.
GCGGGCGUAGCUCAGUUGGUUAGAGUGCCGGCCUGUCACGCCGGAGGUCGCGGGUUCGAGUCCCGUCGCCCGCG